rnacentral:rRNA from 1 species
AACGAACGCUGGCGGCAGGCCUAACACAUGCCAGUCGAGCGGACCCUUCGGGGUUAGCGGCGGACGGGUGAGUAACGCGUGGGAACGUGCCCUUUGCUUCGGAAUAGCCCUGGGAAACUGGGAGUAAUACCGGAUACGCCCUUUUGGGGAAAGAUUUAUCGGCGAAGGAUCGGCCCGCGUUGGAUUAGGUAGUUGGUGGGGUAAUGGCCUACCAAGCCGACGAUCCAUAGCUGGUUUGAGAGGAUGAUCAGCCACACUGGGACUGAGACACGGCCCAGACUCCUACGGGAGGCAGCAGUGGGGAAUCUUAGACAAUGGGGGAAACCCUGAUCUAGCCAUGCCGCGUGAGCGAUGAAGGCCUUAGGGUUGUAAAGCUCUUUCACCGGGGAAGAUAAUGACGGUACCCGGAGAAGAAGCCCCGGCUAACUCCGUG